AUAGUUGGAUUUAUCUACGGGUACGUGGCUGAACAGUUCGGGUGGACUGUGUACAUAGUUAUGGCCGGAUUUGCUUUUUCGUGUUUGUUGACACUUCCUCCAUGGCCUAUUUAUCGCCGGCAUCCCCUCAAGUGGUUACCUGUUCAAGAUUCAGGCUCCGAAGACAAGAAACCAGGGGAAAGAAAAGUUAAGAGGCAUGCUAAAAAUAAUUAGGGUUUUCAUGAUUCAGCUUUACUGUUGCACCUGCUUUCGUUUUGUAUGAGAUGAGCUAAAUUGUUUUCGUAUCCAAAACAUGAGUUGAAACCCAUCACUGCUCCUCCAGCACAGCUGUGUAUACAUUUUGUUGUCUUUAUAUUUCAUUUCUAACUCCGUUGGCUUUUGACUUAUAAUUAUUUUAGACCUUCUCUUCAUAAUCUUUAUCUGAAAUGAGAGCAGAAAACACAAGUAUGCAAAGUUUCUUUCAGGUCUACAAAAAUAAUGAAUAAAUGCCUCAUAAAAGUAC